rnacentral:rRNA from 1 species
AUUGAACGCUGGCGGCAUGCCUUACACAUGCAAGUCGAACGGCAGCACGGGAGCAAUCCUGGUGGCGAGUGGCGAACGGGUGAGUAAUAUAUCGGAACGUGCCCAGUCGUGGGGAUAACGUAGCGAAAGCUACGCUAAUACCGCAUACGAUCUAUGGAUGAAAGCGGGGGAUCGCAAGACCUCGCGCGAUUGGAGCGGCCGAUAUCAGAUUAGGUAGUUAGUGAGGUAAAGGCUCACCAAGCCGACGAUCUGUAGCUGGUCUGAGAGGACGACCAGCCACACUGGGACUGAGACACGGCCCAGACUCCUACGGGAGGCAGCAGUGGGGAAUUUUUGGACAAUGGGCGCAAGCCUGAUCCAGCAAUGCCGCGUGCAGGAUGAAGGCC